rnacentral:rRNA from 1 species
ACGGAAGGCAGCAGUGGGGAAUAUUGGGCAAUGGGCGCAAGCCUGACCCAGCGACGCCGCGUGAGUGAAGAAGUAUUUCGGUAUGUAAAGCUCUAUCAGCAGGGAAGAUAAUGACGGUACCUGACUAAGAAGCCCCGGCUAACUACGUGCCAGCAGCCGCGGUAAUACGUAGGGGGCAAGCGUUAUCCGGAUUUACUGGGUGUAAAGGGAGCGUAGACGGUUUGGCAAGUCUGAAGUGAAAUGCGGGGGCUCAACUCCUGAACUGCUUUGGAAACUGUCGAACUAGAGUGCAGGAGAGGUAAGUGGAAUUCCUAGUGUAGCGGUGAAAUGCGUAGAUAUUAGGAGGAACACCAGUGGCGAAGGCGGCUUACUGGACUGUAACUGACGUUGAGGCUCGAAAGCGUGGGGAGCAAACAGGAUUAGAUACCCUGGUA